ensembl:lncRNA
ACAUGAUACUUGAGUGAGUCCAUCAAAUUCACACCAAAUGUUUGCCCAGCUGUUAAUUGAAUGCUUCCUGUGAUGGGAAUCUCAUUACUUCCUGUGGCUGGUAGGAAGUCCAGCUCUGGUUUCUUAAGUCAACACGGUGAGUCUCGACUAGCCUUUAAAAAAACAAGAGAGUGAGAGGACACCAGCCCAUGUCCCACACUAAGAUAGCUGGAUGCUUCCUCGUGAACAGAUUUACUAUUGGGGUGCUCUGGCCACCAUGGGCAGCCAGUCUGCUCCAGUGCGAGCGUGCUGUUCUCCAUGGUGUUGGGUGACCCCCGACCUCCCAGCAGCAUCCACUGCUGGAAGAGGUUGAGCUAGAGCUCUGCUGGGAUUUGUCCCAUCAGGAAACUUGGAAAGGAUGCUUGCUGAGAGGUCCUACAGCGUGGGCUAUCAGGGAACGUCCGGUUGUUGUUGCUGAAGCUUGAACUCGCCCUUCACUGACGCACUCUUUCUGAGGCUGGGCCCAGUGUCCCCGAGCCCAGACCUAUGCCACAUAUUUGCCUCCUACACCAACAUGGUGAGAGGGCUGUCGGGGAGUUUUAAAAUUUGGAGACCCUGGCAGUGGGCACUGAGUCUUCUGAAUACAACCAGGAUUCACCAAACAGUUUGCAUAAACAACGAUUAAAAAUAAAGUCUCAUUGGGCGGGCCAAAAGCUGCCAGAGAAGCAGGACAGGAGCAGCCAAACCCAGUUCUGAUAUCAUGUGCUGUGGUGCCCAACAGCACCUGGGAGCCUUAUCGCUUCCUCCCACUGAUUACUGGGCGGCUCCAGCUGAAAAGCAGACAGCAUGUUCUGGGAGCAACAAGGCAACUUUGUACCCAGUCCUUUAAAGUGAAACUAAUACACCAAACCCUGGAGAACUUUAGGUCCUUGGAAACAAAUUCUCAGAUGGCCUUUGUCCCACUGUAAAUAACGUUGCAUUUGCACUCACCCAACUUAAGAGUUUGCACUUGUACAAUAGGCUUUACAAAUAUUGAUGCAAUUUAAGGAAAAACCACAUUUGAAAUGAUGCUUAAAAGAUCUUAAACAGAAGCUUGGCUUGGCUGUAAUUGUUAAGUCUGUAGAAUGAUUUGCAUUUCAUCUUAGUUUUGGGCAGUAAAGCAUUUCUCCUGGCAGUGAUGGCUGUAAACUUGCUCGUCAGUUUAGAUCAGUUGGGACAAACCCCAAGUGGGGACACUCUGUGUGUGCCAGCACCACAGUGCUAAUCACAGCAGGUCACAUUUGUUGAGCUCGCACGUGUGCUAGCACUAGUUUACCCAGCUUACACGAGUCACUGGGUGCCACCCCACAGCCCUAUUCCACCAAGAGGGGCACACCUUACUUGGGGUCACACAGCUGCCAGGAUGCAGGUGGCACACUGGUGCAAGGUAAGAGAUGGCUUAGGGGUAUCAGGGGUCUUCACGCAGGAGGAAGUCACACACAGGCCGCAGUUUUCCUUGGAGGGAGGGUGUUUUAAGCCGUAAGCACUGUGGCCCCAAAGCCCCGGCCGCCUUCCUCCUGCUUAGAGAGGCAGAAAUGAAAGUGGAUGCCAGUGGGUGCACCUAGGCUCCUGUGCCUGCACCCUUCCUUGUUGGGGAUGCGGGGGAGGCUGGGGACAUGAGGGACAUUGGGGAUGUGAGGGACACUGAAGAUGCUGGGGAUGUUUGGGACGUUGCUGACAUUGGGGACAUUGCAGACGCUGGGGACAUUGCAGACGCUGGGGACGCUGAGGAUGCUGGGGACGUUAGAGACAUUGGGGAAGCUGGGGACAUUGGGGACACUGCGGACGCUGGGGACGUCUCAGGUGUCCUGGUCUCCCGCCCCCAGGCUUCUCCUUGUCCUCCGCGCAGGUCAAAGAUAAGUUCAAAGGAAAUCACCGGCUUCCUUUAACCACACAACAGCAAGGGCACCGGGUUGGGCACAGAGCGGCGCCGUUCUCACAAACCCACCUUGCCCACAACCAGGUGUUUCUACAACAUCGGACCUCACCGAGGAGUUCAAAGCUGACCAACGCAGUCGCCAGAGGCGGGAGGACUUCUGGGGUCAAGGAGCCGACAGAGGGCACGCGGGACCGAGGCGCCGACCGCGGGAGCUGCUCUCCCGGCGCUCGGCCCUUCUAGGCCGCGCCUCUCCACU